GCUGGGAUAGCUCAGUUGGUACACCAUGAGAUUCUUAAUCUCAGGGACGUGGGUCUGAGCCCCAUGCAGGGGGUCAGUCUAGACA